GCUCUUUCAACCCAAUCUCCUCCUUCAUUAUUGUUGCAGCAACCAUGGCAAGAAGAAAACAUCCGCCAAUAGUUACGCCAAGCGGACUAAAGGCCCCCUGGUCAAUAAUCACCCAGUUCAAGUUCUGAUAUACUCACUCUCACGCUCAGUCUCUGUCUUUCUAGGAACUAAAUGUCAUUGAGGUUGUCUUUUUUUUCUUUCUUUUUUUUGUUGGUGUUGAAUUUGCGUAAUGUUGUUUUGUAGCAGGCGUCUUAGAGGAAGCCGUAUAGGCAUAAUCAUAUAACAACAUCACUUAAACAGAUACAGAAAUAUCAGAAGAGUAUUGAUUCUUUUGUUACCUGGAGCCCCUUCUUCUUAGAACUGUAGAAACACGAAGGGAUUUCGUACAUGUUAAUGAGCGAGUGCAAGUAAUUGAUAAGGAUGGCAAGUUGGUUCCUAACUUAUGCUGCAAUGGUGAUGCGAAUGGAAAACUAACGCUUGCUCAUGCAGCAAUUGGACAAGGGAUUUCAGGUACUAAUCUUAUUCCAUUGAAUGUUCGCACCGUAUACUGAUUCUUACUUGAAAGCCAUUUAAAUUAUCGGUUAAGUAAUUGUUUUGAGGUGGUGGUGCUGGCCGCUGGGCAUUAUCAGUUAUGAUUGUUUGGUAGCCAAGGAGGCUGUGUAUUCUCUAUCUAGACUACGACAAAAAAUUGUAGAUGAAAAAGAUGCACGCAGCACGCCCCUGCCAUGGUGUAUGUGAAUUUCACAAUUAGUAGAAAGUAGUAAUCUACAUGAAUAGGAGAAUAAACCUCACUCAAUGUUUGUAAAUGUUUUUUUUUUUUUUUCUUUGUCGAGUUAAUGAGAAGAACAUAUAAUUUUUGGUGGAGUGGAGUGAUAUUGCACAAGCUACCUGGGAUCAGAAGAAAAUGUUGAUCCUGAUUUGUUCAAAGAAUUUGGAGUAAACAAUGAAGAGAUUGUUGUUGUGGAGAAGGUUUGAUGGGUGAUUCUGCGUACACAGAGGUUUAGAGAAGUGAAAUAAACAAAAUGGAAAAUAAAGGUUGUUGUGGGGAUCUAAGGCAUGCAAUCUAGCUACAUAGACCACUUCACAGUGUCUGGUUUCUAAUGGCCUUAUCUCAUUCUACAGUCAAGUUUUAUUGGAUUUUUGUAAAUGGUCAGAUUUGAAAUGAAAUGUGGUUUACUUUUACCUGUACAAUGCACAUACUUUCUUCUUUUUAAUACAUUCAAUUUUUUCUA